rnacentral:rRNA from 1 species
AUUGAACGCUGGCGGCAGGCCUAACACAUGCAAGUCGAGCGGAUGAAGCGAGCUUGCUCCUGGAUUCAGCGGCGGACGGUUGAGUAAUGCCUAUGAAUCUGCCUGGUAGUGGGGGAUAACGUCCGGAAACGGGCGCUAAUACCGCAUACGUCCUGAGGGAGAAAGUGGGGGAUCUUCGGACCUCUCGCUAUCAGAUGAGCCUAGGUCGGAUUAGCUAGUUGGUGGGGUAAAGGCCUACCAAGGCGACGAUCCGUAACUGGUCUGAGAGGAUGAUCAGUCACACUGGAACUGAGACACGGUCCAGACUCCUACGGGAGGCAGCAGUGGGGAAUAUUGGACAAUGGGCGAAAGCCUGAUCCAGCCAUGCCGCGUGUGUGAAGAAGGUCUUCGGAUUGUAAAGCACUUUAAGUUGGGAGGAAGGGCAGUAAGUUAAUACCUUGCUGUUUUGACGUUACCAACAGAAUAAGCACCGGCUAACUUCGUG